AAGAGCCCGGAGAUGGAUUCUGAGACACGAAUCCAGGCCUACGAGGGCGCAGCAGGCGCGAAAACUUUACAAUGCGAGAAAUCGUGAUAAGGGAACCCCGAGUGCCCGUAAAUUCGGGCUGUCCAUCAGUGUAAAAAACUGGUGAAGAAAGGGCCGGGCAAGACCGGUGCCAGCCGCCGCGGUAAUACCGGCGGCUCGAGUGGUGGCCACUAUUACUGGGCUUAAAGCGUCCGUAGCCGGGUUGUUAAGUCUCCCGGGAAAUCCAACGGCUCAACCGUUGGGCGUUCGGGGGAUACUGGCAAUCUAGGGACUGGGGGAGGUGAGAGGUACUCUAGGGGUAGGAGUGAAAUCCUGUAAUCCUUGGGGGACCACCUGUGGCGAAGGCGUCAGACUGGAACGCGCCUGACGGUGAGGGACGAAAGCCAGGGGAGCGAACCGGAUUAGAUACCCGGGUAGUCCUGGCCGUAAACGAUGCAUACUAGGUGAUGGCACGGCCAUGAGCCGUGUCAGUGCCGUAGGGAAACCGUUAAGUGUGCCGCCUGGG
rnacentral:rRNA from 1 species